CACGUAUAAUUUUUUUAAUUUUCCGCUUGUGUUAAGAAAAGUAAUAUAAAACAAAUUUAAUUUAAAGUUGUUCCAUCAGUUUUUGAAUAUCUCCUCAUAGAUCAGGAUGGGUAUUCUAUGGUUUUUGCUGUUUUGCGCUCUUUUGCACAUUGUGAGAGCUGUACCCGUCCAUGGACAUGAAUUUCCUUGGUUUAAAAUGGAUUACAUAGGUACUCAGCCUCAUAGACUAGGAUAAUUUAUAUUCCAUUUCAUAUAACACGUCAUAUUUGACACCUAUGUAUGUGACUUUAUAUGAUGUAAAUAUCCUCCUCUUUAAAUGAGUUUCAAUUACUAAAUAUACAAAUACAACCCGCAAAA